UACGAAGGGGGCUAGCGUUGCUCGGAAUCACUGGGCGUAAAGCGCACGUAGGCGGAUCUUUAAGUCAGGGGUGAAAUCCCAAGGCUCAACCUUGGAACUGCCUUUGAUACUGGGGAUCUCGAGUCCGGAAGAGGUUGGUGGAACUCCGAGUGUAGAGGUGAAAUUCGUAGAUAUUCGGAAGAACACCAGUGGCGAAGGCGGCUCACUGGUCCGGUACUGACGCUGAGGCACGAAAGCGUGGGGAGCAAACAGG
rnacentral:rRNA from 1 species